GCCAAAAAUUUAGCCCAUAAUAACCCCAUGAAAAACACUUACCUUAAUUUUUUAAACUAAAUCAUUCUCAAAAUUUAGUAAAGGCGAUCAAAACAUUAAUUGGAGCAAUAAAAAUAGUACCGUAAGGGAACAAUGAAAUAAAAAUGAAACAAAUUUUAAGCACAAAAAAGUAGAGAAUUAACCUCGUACCUUUUGCAUCAUGAUUUAACAAGAUAGACUUAGCACAAUGAAUUAUAGUUCAACCUCCCGAAACUAAGCGAGCUACUUCUAGGCAGCUAUAAGAGCAAACCCGUCUCUGUUGCAAAAGAGUGGAAAGACCUUUAAGUAGAGGUGACAGACCUAACGAGCAUAGUGAUAGCUGGUUACUCAAGAAAAGAAUUUUAGUUCAACCUAAAGUUUCUGCAAUAUUAUUAAAUAAAACCUUAACUUUUUAGUUAUUCAAAUAAGGUACAGCCUAUUUGAAACAGGAUACAACCUAAACCAAUGGGUAAACAAUGAUAAAUUUAACCAAGUGGGCCUAAAAGCAGCCACCUUUAAAACAGCGUCAUAGCUUAAUUUUAUAAACAUCUAAUUCCCCUUAUAACAAUGAACCCAUUAUUAAUAUUGAGUAAUUCUAUACAUUUAUAGAAAAUUUUAUGUUAAAACUAGUAAUAAGAAGAAGACCUUCUCUUUAAUGUAAAUGUAAAUCAGAUAGGACAAACCACUGAUAAUUAACAUCAAUAACUAUAUUUUAGCAACUCAACAAGAAAACACUAACUCAUUAUAUGUUAACCUAACACAAGAACAUUGCAAGAAAGAUUUAAAGAAAAAGAAGGAACUCGGCAAAUAUAAACCUCGCCUGUUUACCAAAAACAUCGCCUCUUGAUUCAAUAUAAGAGGUCCAGCCUGCCCAGUGACUUUUGUUCAACGGCCGCGGUAUCCUAACCGUGCGAAGGUAGCGUAAUCACUUGUUCUUUAAAUAAGGACUAGUAUGAAUGGCAUCACGAAGGUUUUACUGUCUCCUUUUUCUAAUCAAUGAAACUAAUCUCCCCGUGAAGAAGCGGGGAUAAAUCUAUAAGACGAGAAGACCCUAUGGAGCUUUAAAUUAUUUAUCACUUGCUUAAUCCAUUGUAUUUUCAGAAUUAUACCACUUAUUCUAGCUUUCUGAUAGUAAAUUUUAGGUUGGGGUGACCGCGGAGUAAAAAAUAACCUCCACAAUGAAAGGAUACUUUCCUGAACAAAAAGCUACAACUUUAUGUACCAAAAAAUUGACAUAAAUUGACCCAAUAUUUUGAUCAACGAACCAAGUUACCCUAGGGAUAACAGCGCAAUCUACUUCAAGAGCUCCUAUCGACAAGUAGGUUUACGACCUCGAUGUUGGAUCAGGGUGUCCCAGUGGUGCAGCCGCUACUAAAGGUUCGUUUGUUCAACGAUUAAAACCCU
rnacentral:rRNA from 1 species